GGAAUUUUGGACAAUGGGCGCAAGCCUGAUCCAGCCAUGCCGCGUGAGUGAAGAAGGCCUUCGGGUUGUAAAGCUCUUUCGGCCGGGAAGAAAUCGCAUUGGUUAAUACCUGGUGUGGACGACGGUACCGGAAUAAGAAGCACCGGCUAACUACGUGCCAGCAGCCGCGGUAAUACGUAGGGUGCGAGCGUUAAUCGGAAUUACUGGGCGUAAAGCGUGCGCAGGCGGUUUUGUAAGACAGGCGUGAAAUCCCCGGGCUCAACCUGGGAACUGCGCUUGUGACUGCAAGGCUAGAGUACGGCAGAGGGGGGUGGAAUUCCACGUGUAGCAGUGAAAUGCGUAGAGAUGUGGAGGAACACCAAUGGCGAAGGCAGCCCCCUGGGUCGAUACUGACGCUCAUGCACGAAAGCGUGGGUAGCAAACAGGAUUAGAUACCCUGGUAGUCCACGCCCUAAACGAUGUCAACUAGGUGUUGGGAGGGUAAAACCUUUUAGUACCGGAGCUAACGCGUGAAGUUGACCGCCUGGGGAGUACGGCCGCAAGGUUAAAACUCAAAGGAAUUGACGGGGACCCGCACAAGCGGUGGAUGAUGUGGAUUAAUUCGAUGCAACGCGAAAAACCUUACCUACCCUUGACAUGUCAGGAAGUCUUGAGAGAUUGAGAUGUGCCCGAAAGGGAACCUGAACACAGGUGCUGCAUGGCUGUCGUCAGCUCGUGUCGUGAGAUGUUGGGUUAAGUCCCGCAACGAGCGCAACCCUUGUCGUUAAUUGCCAUCAUUUAGUUGGGCACUUUAGCGAGACUGCCGGUGACAAACCGGAGGAAGGUGGGGAUGACGUCAAGUCCUCAUGGCCCUUAUGGGUAGGGCUUCACACGUCAUACAAUGGUCGGUACAAAGGGUCGCCAACCCGCGAGGGGGAGCCAAUCCCAGAAAGCCGAUCGUAGUCCGGAUUGCAGGCUGCAACUCGCCUGCAUGAAGUCGGAAUCGCUAGUAAUCGUGGAUCAGCAUGUCACGG
rnacentral:rRNA from 1 species